GUUGAGAGAGAGAAGGCAAAGAGAGGGGCAGAAUGGGCGACAAAAGGGCGACCACCGUCAAACAGAGGCUAAUCAGGCAUUUCAGGAUGCAAUAACGACCCAAGGCAGACCUCUCUACGCCUCCCUGGACUUGGCUGCAUUGGAUAAAAGAUCAAAAAAGAAGGCGGGUCUCUGAUGAGAACCAAGGCGGUUUCCAUCUGAUGAAUUAUCGAGGAGACAGGAUUUGCCAAAGAACCAACAGCCUUGUGGAAAUAAUCAUGGAGCAAAGGAGGCUCCUUUCAAACAAAUAAAUGUUUCCCGUUCACUGCACAGAGCUACAAAGACUGGCUCAUUUUGCUGAAUGUAAAAGUUGUUUUGAAUAUUGUUAAGGA